rnacentral:misc_RNA from 1 species
GAAUGGUUCUAUCAGUCUUGAGGAAAUGAGACAGGCUCUUGCUAAAGAUCUCCCAUGGAAAUUGAAAGAAUCUCGUGUUCUAGAAAUUCUUCAGGCAAUUGAUGUCAAUACCGAUGGGCUUGUCGAUUUCACAGAAUUUGUUGCAGCUACAUUACACGUGCAUCAAUUAGAGGAACAUGACUCUGUAAAGUGGCAGCAGCGAUCACAGGCAGCUUUUGAGAAAUU